rnacentral:sRNA from 1 species
AAUGCUGUUGAAAGCACUUCCAGGAAAAGUGUGUAACGGUUUUCCGUCCGGAAGUGCGUUGGGUCAAACGGUAGAGCAUUUCAGUGUUUCCAUGAAACAGUGAAAUGCUCGACUUAACGGUCGCCCAGAUCUCUCACGGCGCCGCGGUCGGCCGA